rnacentral:rRNA from 1 species
GAUGAACGCUAGCUACAGGCUUAACACAUGCAAGUCGAGGGGUAACGAGAGGAAAGCUUGCUUUCCUUGUCGACGACCGGCGCACGGGUGAGUAACGCGUAUCCAACCUGCCCCCAACUAGGGAAUAACCUUGCGAAAGUAAGACUAAUACCCUAUAAUUUCCUCAGAUGACAUCUGACGAGGAAUAAAGAUUUAUCGGUUGUGGAUGGGGAUGCGUCUGAUUAGCUUGUUGGCGGGGUAACGGCCCACCAAGGCAGCGAUCAGUAGGGGUUCUGAGAGGAAGGUUCCCCACAUUGGAACUGAGACACGGUCCAAACUCCUACGGGAGGCAGCAGUGAGGAAUAUUGGUCAAUGGGCGGAAGCCUGAACCAGCCAAGUAGCGUGCAGGAUGACGGCCCUAUGGGUUGUAAACUGCUUUUAUACAGGAAUAAAGUUAGCCACGUGUGGUUAUUUGUAGGUACUGUAUGAAUAAGGACCGGCUAAUUCCGUGCCAGCCGCCGCUGUAAAAC